rnacentral:tRNA from 1 species
GGGUUUGUAGCGAAGUGGUAUCGUGCUUCAUUUGGGGGCUCAUGAGCACCAUUGAAGAGGUCCCGCGUUCGAUCCGCGGCUGACCCC